CUCCUGGGAUGGGGACUCCCUGGGCAGCCUGUGCCAGGGCCUGAGAGCUGUAUAAAUCAUAACAGACUUAAGAUUCAGAAACCAAAUCUUUGGCACCUACCAUGAAAAUCAGAAGAAAAUUCUCCCAAGUUCUCUCUGUUGCUAUUCCAGUUGCUAAGUCUGGAAUGCAGAACCAUCAGCAUUUACAGCCUGGCUGCAGACAGAAGUAGCUGAGGAAGCACCAGGUGGAAAUACCUCUGGCAUUGAGGCUCUGGCUCAUCAAACUCUGCUCUUGGACCUGAGCUCAUUCACCAUCCUGAAAGACUUGUGGGUGAACGAGCUGAGUGCUCUUUGGAAAGUUUUGGCCAAUAACUGAGUGAUUCUCAACGUUGUUAUUUCAUGCACAAAAUAAAA